UCCUUAGAUGUUCUGGGCGGCCCGCGCACUACAAUGGCGUGUGCAGCGAGUGCCGAAGUAGAGUUUUCCGAGGUAUUCUUGCAAUGCUCGUUUUGAUGGGGAUAGACCCUUGCAACUGUUGGUUUUGAACGAGGAAUUCCUUGUAAGCAUGGUUUAUCAUCCGACGCUGAAUGCGUCCCUGCCCUUUGUACACACCGCCCGUCGCUCCUACCGAUGAGUCGUCCGGUGAAGUUCGUAGACCUCGUGAUCGCGGAUCACUGGGGGAAGCAAAAUGAACCUCGCGGUUUAGAGGAAGGAGAAGUCGUAACA
rnacentral:rRNA from 1 species